rnacentral:lncRNA from 1 species
UGUAGACAUAUAUAGAUGUAUACAUAUAUAGAUAGAUAGGUCUAUAUAGAAAACCAUCUAUCUAUAUCUAGAUAGAGAUAUGUAUUGAUAGAUAUCUCUCCCUGUCUAUCUCUAGAUAGAUUAUCUAAUCUAUCUGUAAAACUAUCUUAAAACCAUACUAAUUUAAAAAUCAAGAUUCAUCUUAAUUUAAAAAUCUUAAUUUAAAAGUUAAGAACCAUCUUUAUUUUGUGGUUCAUAUACACCAUGGAAUGUUAGGCAGCCAUAAAAGAGAGUGAGAUCAAGUCCUUUGCAGGAACAUGGAUGGAGCUGGAUGGAGGUCUUUAUCCUUAACAAACUAAUGCAGGAACAGAAAACCAAAUACUGCAUGUUCUCAUUUACAAAUGGGAGCUAAAUUAUGAGAACACAUGAACACAUAGAGGGAAACAACAGACACUGGGGCCUCUGGGAGGGUGGAUGGUGGGAGGAAGCAGAAGAUCAGGAAAAACAAUUAAUGGGUACUAGGCUUAAUAGCUGGGUGGUGAAAUAAUCUGCACAACAAAUCCCUGUGACACUAGUUUACCUACAUAACAAACCUACGCAUGUGCCAUUGACCUGAAAAUAAAAGUUAAAAAAAUUAUUAAAAAUAUGUCAGUAAAAGUCUUUAACCAACACAAGAUGGUUCAUCCCAAGAGUCAUCUUAAUUUAAAAAUCUUCACAUCUUAAGAAGCUACACGGGAGGCUGCGGCAGGAGAAUGGCUUGAACCCAGCAGGCAGGGGUUGCAGUGAAGCGAGAUGGCAACAUUGUACUCCAGCCCGGGCGACAGUGUGAGUCUCUGUCUCAAAAAAAAAAAAAAAAAAAAAAGCAACUUUGCUGCUUAAAUUGAGUAUAAUACCCAUUUACAUUUAAUGUGGUGAAUGAAAAAUUUGGUUUUCAUUUACCACCCUACAACUGAAUUUUUAAUUCCUCCACAUAUUCUAUUUGCCUUUCUCAACUAUUAUUUUAUAGAUAAAAGGACUUACAGAAAGCAAAUAUAUGAUUCAAUAUUCCAAUAAAAGUGCUUUUUAAAUUUAUAUUGAGCAUUUUAUCCUUCUUUCUUAAAAAUCUUAAGCUACACACAUUACAUAGCUAGGCACUGAUAAGAAUCUAGUACUAGAUAACCAUUUCAAAGGCAUGGAUAGAAUGCUUUCCAGGUAUGGAUUGUUUCCAUAACUCCCCUUCCAUACAUUUUAAAGCCAUUGCAUAAAAAAUAAGGAAUUUUGUAGAGAGGAGUGAGUUUAUAUCCUUUAAUAUUUUCUCACUUUAGAAGUGCAGUCUUGGAAUGAUAUAAACUCUGUAAACAGACUAUCAUGCUGCAUUUACAGAGAAUGAUAUCAUGGUGUCUAUUUUUAAGACAAGAAUAAAAAUUAUGUUUUUUUCUAAUAAUAGAAAUGGAUAAGCAGAAUUCUGGCUUCUAAUAAUGAGAACAUACUAUCCCCUAGUUUGAAAUAAGUUAGAUAAUUUAACUUUCUCAUGUUAUCUUGAAGUUAAUACAUCAUUUGUAUUGAAUGUAUCAGUGCACUACAUGAAGUCUUACAUUGGGUACCAUCCCUUUUAUCUUCCACAUAAAGUGAUUUAGUGUUUUAAUACACUUCUUUCCAUAUCUUGCAGUUUUGCAUAGCAAAAGAAGCAUGCACUUUGAGGAAAAUGCACCUUUUAAUUUUCUGUAUUUUAAAUAUUAUGGGUACAAAAUAUUUGUAUAUAAUUAUGGAGUACAUGUGAUGUUUCAAUACCUCCUUUUUGAUCCCAGAUCUUUCCUGAAUUUUUUGUCCAAUUUGUAUUGCGUUAUUUAUGUUUGAAAAGGAGUAAUGAUGUUUAGUAUAUACUGUUAUAAAAUAACUGAUUCAAAGGAUGUAAAGUAUCUGAUACUAACUAUGUCCAAAUAUGAUUUUUAAGCAAAUGUUCCUAACAAUACAUAAAUAAUAACAUGGAAUAAAAUAAAUUCAUGUAGCUUUAUGAUAAUAAUUUUACCUAAAUUAAAAAGUGUUAUGUGCAAAUAGAUGGUAUACGACACUUGGCAUGUAAUAAUGCAAUUAAGUCCAAUUGAAUAUAUUGUUUGAUUUAUUUCCACAAUCUUUGAUACAUGUAUUGUAGAUCCAAACAUCAAAAACCAUAAGUAGCCUGUAUAAUGCUUUUUUUAUUCUCUGUAAAGUUUUUAAUAUAAAUAUAUAAAAGAGCAUCUUAAAUUAUUUAAGUCAAUUAUUUUAUAUGUGGAUUUGGUAUUAGAACAUAUAUCUUCUUUAGCACAAUAAACUUUUUUAAGUGUCAGAAAUUAUAUAAUUAUAUAGUGACUUUUGUUCACAAGGUAGUUAGUUGUACGUACCUACAAGAUACUUGAAAAAUAUUUUUGUCAAGAUUGGAUGCAUUUUUCUCUUAUAGACUCUUAAAAAUGUUAACAAGCCAACACGUGAACGUACUGAAGUAUUUUUUAAUCAUCUUUUCUAGUGUUGAUAAUGAGUUGGCUGAUAUAAAGUCAUUAGAGUGGCAAUUCAACAAAUAUUUUCUAUGGCAUAACAAAUGUCAUUAACUUGCUAGUCUGUCACGAUGUUGCAAAGCUAAAGUCACAUUCAUUAGUGUUUUUUGUUGUUGUUGCUGUAGUGGUGGUUUGUUUUGUUACAUGAAGUGGCCCACUUCUUGUAUUAAAUUAUUUAUUCUUUCUGAAAAUGUUCAAUCAGAAUGUAAUAACACCUUUAAAAAUGAUUUAAAAAUGUAUUCCCAUAGGUGGGAAUUGAGCAAUGAGAACACUUGGACACAGGGUGGGGAAAAUCACACCCCAGGGCCUGUCGGGGGUGGGGGCAGGGGGAGGGAUAGCAUUAGGAGAAAUACCUAAUGUAAAUGAUGAGUUAAUGGGUGCAGCAAACCAACAUGGCACGUGUAUACCAAUGUAACAAAACUGCAUGUUGUGCACAUGUAUCCUAGAACUUAAAGCAUAAUAAAAAAUAUAUAUAUUUAUUUCUACUGAACACAAUGUCUAUAUAUUAGAUGACCUAGAACUGGUAGGGGGUUCUAAUCCAGGGGAUUGUUGAUAAACUCAGACAACUUCUGUAUUUUUACAUUGUUACUCUUAAAGUCUUGUCAUUGAUUGUCUCAAUAUUGGAAAAUAACAUGUCAAUAUUCAGUGUAAUAAACUGGAAGAAAAAAUGGGCCAAUAUCCCAUUCAAUUAAAGACAUGAAAAAGAGUGUGUAUGUAUUACUUCUGCUCACAUCUUAAUGUUCAACAUGUCGUCACCAAGCCAGAUAGAACCAUAUACUGGGGAAUGUAAUGUUUAUCUGAGAAACCAAAUGCCUAAAUACAAAUUUUAGUAGUACGAAGUAAGAGGAAAUAAAUAUGGGGGAUUUUCUAGUCUUCUCUAUUAUAUAUAAAUUGCAAGAUUUGGCUACUUUAAAAAAUAUUAACAUUUACUAAUUUUUCAUCAAUUCAAAUACCAUAUUGUAGAGUGCAAUUUAACCAAAUUAGAUAACAGUCCCAAAUAUAACAUUUAACUGUACAUCUUCCAGAAGCCAAAAAAUGAGAAAUUAUUUGUGGCUUUUGGCUAGACAAAGAUUUCUUAGAUGUGGCCCAAAAGAACAACCUAGAGAACAAACAAAAAAACCAGUUACAACAACAAUAGAUAUGACUUCAUAAAAACAAAAAAUUCUGUAUUUCUACCCUAUAUGCCUCAAACUAGGAAUAGACAUUUCCAAAUUAUAUCUGAUAAAGAAUGUGUAUCCAAAAUAUGUAAACUCAAUUAUAAGGAAAAUUACAGACCAAUAAUAAACAAUAAGGAAAAGAAUAUACUUGAACACAUACUUUGCCAGAGGAAAUUCAGAGACAGCAAAUAAUCACAUCA